CAGUAGCCACGGUAAUACGAAGGGGGCUAGCGUUGUUCGGAAUUACUGGGCGUAAAGGGCGCGUAGGCGGCCAUUCAAGUUAGAUAUGAAAGCCCUGGGCUCAACCUAGGAAUUGCAUUUGAUACUGUUUGGCUUGAGUUCGGGAGAGGUGAGUGGAAUUCCCAGUGUAGAGGUGAAAUUCGUAGAUAUUGGGAAGAACACCAGUGGCGAAGGCGGCUCACUGGACCGACACUGACGCUGAGGCGCGAAAGCGUGGGGAGCAAACAGGAUUAGAUACCCCCGUAGUCCCUGUCUCUUAUAC
rnacentral:rRNA from 1 species